rnacentral:lncRNA from 1 species
AGACUCAUCAACUAUACCAGUCCUCUGUUCCUGGUCUCUGGAGCUUCAAUUUGGGAAAGUGACCCAUUAGCUUCUGAGGACCAGGGUGAGAGAGGGCAAACUUGAAUGCCCUUCACAAUGGAGAGAUGUGUGCAGACCGGACAGACAUCAGUUCCUUUAUCAGUGCACAGGUAGCUGCAAUGUAAGUGGCUAGUGUGCAGGAACAGCCAGGGAGCUGAAGGAUAAACACUUUGGCUUCAUUCUCCUGGAGGGGACAGUUCUGAGUCCUCAUGCCCCCGCCCCCCUCCUUCAGAGACCACACCUCGGCUGCUCACAGCAAUGGCUGCCCAUCAACUCACCCUUCAAUGCUUCCACCCCCACACUUCCGGUCCCUCUUCCUCACUCUCUUACAGAUGCUUCCUGGAAUCCUCUCUCAAAUAAACUGCUUGCCUCCAAAUCCUUGUCUCAGGCCUGCAUGUGGAGAGAUAAAACCCAGACAAAGAGGCAGACAUGAGCAGAUGAGCUCCCCCGAACAGGAGACAAGUGGGCUGAGAGGUGAAGGAAGAGGAUGAGGGCAGCCACGAACGCUCAAUGAGACAUGACAAGUCAAGUGUGGAGCCCAGGCCCUUCACCCAGAGGAGCUCAAAAAAUAUUAGCAGCCGUUACCAUUGGAGCCUCUGCCUCCUAAACCUGCCUCAAUAUCUAUGGAGGGUGGGAGCAGAGUCACUUUUCCUCACUGGACCUCAGUUUACUCCUCAGAAAGACAGCAGUGAUGAUGCCCUCUCAAGAUAUCCUCUAACUCCAGAAUCCCUGUCUCUAUUGAUCGUGUAGGAUGAGGCAGUCCAAGUUAAAACAAACACUUUGUUCUUAGUAUCUCAUUUCAUUUUCAUAAAAGCCUUAGAGGACACAC